CCUACGGGGGGCAGCAGUGGGGAAUAUUGGACAAUGGGGGGAACCCCGAUCCAGCCAUGCCGCGUGUGUGAAGAAGGCCCUCGGGUUGUAAAGCACUUUCAGUGAGGAAGAACGCCUGGUGGUUAAUACCCAUCAGGAAAGACAUCACUCACAGAAGAAGCACCGGCUAACUCCGUGCCAGCAGCCGCGGUAAUACGGAGGGUGCGAGCGUUAAUCGGAAUUACUGGGCGUAAAGCGCGCGUAGGUGGCUUGAUAAGCCGGUUGUGAAAGCCCCGGGCUCAACCUGGGAACGGCAUCCGGAACUGUCAAGCUAGAGUGCAGGAGAGGAAGGUAGAAUUCCCGGUGUAGCGGUGAAAUGCGUAGAGAUCGGGAGGAAUACCAGUGGCGAAGGCGGCCUUCUGGACUGACACUGACACUGAGGUGCGAAAGCGUGGGUAGCAAACAGGAUUAGAUACCCGUGUAGUC
rnacentral:rRNA from 1 species